GGGAAAGAUAGUUUUACUUAUCAUGUUGGAAAUAGGAAAAGAAAUUCAAAUUAGCUAGUACUUGUUAUAAGAUUAACAUUACAAUUAUAAGAGUUAAACAAACCAAAUUUGUCAGUCAUAGGCUUUCCCCUCGAUUAGAAAGAUUUUAUAUUGCUAGAGGAAAAACGAACUAUCUAACUCUAAUAUCCUUGGUAUUCUCCCUGCUGAGAAAGAUCCGGAUUUAACACCAGAGCUGCUAUGAGAGGAGUUAAACUGGGAGGGACUUUAUUAUUAUCAUAUUUGGUGCAUAAUUGUAGUAGUUCUUGCAGUUUAUUUGUUUCUGAACUACUUGAAUAUAAGAACUCUUGCUUCGUUCUGCAUCUACGUGGCGGUUACAUGUCAAUAAUCUUGUGGAUGACAUUCUUUAGCUUCUUUGUAAUUUCACUGUUUCAGUCUAAUUUCAUCGUCCUCUAAAGUGUUGUUUCCACUUGUAGUUCCAUAUAUUUCUCAGGAGAACUUCUGAGAAAGAAAAGAAAAAAAAACAUAUUCCAACUUGUGAAGCUCUUGAAUAUCAUGGACAGUGACCAUGAGCUGGCUUGGUUACAUCCCCUAUUGCUAACAUUGUGAAUAUUGUUAAAACUGUUAUCAGCAACCUCGGAGCAAUUAUAAACUUGGCAUGAGUUUUUGAGAACUCUAAAGGUCAGUGCUAUAUUCCUGCACACGUCUUUUAUCACUUACGGUGUUCCUCUUUUUGAUGCUGUUCUUUUAGGUACGUCAGAUUUAAGAGACGUCUUUCACCGAGUGGAAAUCUCUAACUCCGAUCAUAUAGUAGCAUUAUGUGGAGGCCUCAAACUGGUAUUAUAUAAUAUGGAUUUGCAUCAACAUACUGAUAUUUCUCACACAUAAAUUCUAUUUGUCUUAAGGUUCGUCUAUAUAUUGGGUUUGCUGCUGCAGGCCAGAAGAGCUGGUGCGAAGACUUUGCAAUUUGACAACUCAUACUUUAAGGAGCUCAGUGAGGAACCUCAUAUUGAUAAAGCUCUACGUGACGAUCCAGAAUCCCGCAGCUGUGUGCAACGUUAUGCAACGGAUGAAGAUGCUUUCAAAAGAGACUGCGUAGUGGCACACAAGAAGCUCUCUGAGCUUGGAUUACCGCAUUUAGCAUUUGACAAUAACACGUUACGUUCGAAGAACAUGCCGGUGACAGUGACACAAAGGGCUGUUGGAGUUGCUGUUGCAGCCGUUGUUGCAAUAUUCAGUGUCUUCUAUCUAAUCAACAGGAGGAGAGCUAAUAAGUAUUCGUCACAGUUGUUCCACUAACAUUGGUCGACGAGACUCAACAGAAAGAAAUAGUAAACCAGAAACUGAAUUUGAGCAAGAAUAAAAGAGACUGUUCUCCACUGAAUAGCUCCAUGUUUCAUCAAUAAUAAAUCUUAAGGAUAUCUCCAUGUUGCAUCAAUAACUUGA